GAAUAGAACUGUUAGUUUCUCUCUGCUUCUGUAAAGAUGAUAAGACAGUUCAUGUGAGACCCAUAUUCACUGUAAAUUUUCUCUACUCUUAUUCUUCAGACUUCUGAGAUUUAUUCUUCCACUCUUAAGUGAAGCAACAUCAGCUUAAAUGUGACCGAUAAAUUCAUGUCUUAUCUGUCUUGGAGACAGAUAAUUCUCCACUGUCUUGGAGAAUUCUGGUCACCAGAGAACUGGUGAGAAUAUUCAAUUCCUCAACUUUCAGGCUUGCUUGAAACACCUUUUCUCUCCAACAGUCUGGGAACUAUUUAACUGCAGUGACUUGACAUUCAGAAGAAUUGGUGAUUUGAAUGAGCAACAGCCCAGCAGCUUCAGUUAGGCUGGCAGGCUGAAAAACAUCAUGCUUGCAAUCUGCAAGCCUGUCAUUUUCUAUUUUCUUUGGUGGGGCUACUCAGACAUUCUACAUCAGCACAAUUAACAAAUGAUAGGGCAUUACGUAUUAAAAAUGUCACAGUAAUUUCUCUUCUGACUAGAAUCGAAUAAUACAAUAAGCCACUUUAAAAACCUCCAUGAACGCUAUUAAAUAUGUAUUACCGCUGUCGCAACCAUUCUACAAACAUGGAAGACCAAUGGUUAUGUCAUGAUACUGUUCUGCCUCCUUCUCUCACCCCAGUUGCCACUGUUCAAAGGUUCACCUCUGCUCUGUAAAUGGCUGCCUGCCACUGCUCCUCCUCUGGGAACCACCUGGAGAAGAGAUGCCAGGCAGCUGUUCUCGGAUAGGCCUGACAGCAUGUGCCCACAUAAAGAGUUUUCUCCACCUUUGUGAACUUGAAGUGGGAUCCUGCCAUGUGCUCCAACCUCAAGAA